AGUGGGAGCUGCUCUCCGCUCCGCGGUCGCGGUGCCUGCAGUCCGGAGGCGCACCGGAGCUGCCGGGGCGCCCCCCGCGGGAGCCCGCAGCCAGCCAGAGCGCGCAUCCAGCCGCGGCGCCUCUGACCCGGCAAGCUACGUACGAGGACUUGGCGGACCCCGCGCUGCUGCCGAUUCCGAGCGUGUGCGGCGCGCGCCGGCCGGCCGGUCGGGCACCCAGGGCCCGGCCCGCCUCCCCAGCGCCUGCCCAAGCUUCUCCCCCUGGCGGUGGACCUUCGGCGGCCGCCGGCAGCUUUUGGCGCACUAGGGGAGCCCGAGCCGAGCCGAACCCGAGCACCGCAAACCGCUCCCAGGCUUCCUCUCAGCUCGCUGGCCGGGGUGUGGGGGGGUCACAGGCCCGAGGGGUGAGGGUGGGCGAGGCGGCGCGCAAUAGAGUUGGUGCUGAAGACCCGACCCUCGGCCGCCAGGGGGUCUUCGUGAGAUAACCUGGAAGCUGGUUUGUGCAUUUGACAGCAAAAGCUCCAUCCAGUUGGGGUGCAAAAAGAAUGUCACAGGCUUCUGUUCUUAUAAGACUUCAGCUGUAGAACCCACACGUGAAUCCUUGUAACAGUUUCUGGACUGGCAUUGGCCAUUGGACUGCACCUAGAGGAUCACUGUCUUGUUGUAGCAAUCCUAACACCCCGACCCUGAAAGUGGAUGUCUCCACAGAACAAAGAAGUUCGUGUACGUAGGAAGUAGAAUAGUAUCAUUUAAAAAUACUAGCUUUACUUCAUGUCUUUUGGAAAGUGGGCCAGUGUUCACAUAGCUACAUCUCUUUCUAAAUGGAACUGCCAGGAAGAAUAUACUUGAAUGGGGAAGAGUGAAGGUACUCCAUGGCAAUAUUUCUAAACUUUAAUUUGCAUUUGCAUCAGUUGGGGAUCUUGCCAUGAUACAGGUUCUGAUUCAGUAGAUUUGGAGUGGGGAUUUAAUAUUCCUGUUAUCUCAGUGGUGAUGCCCAGCUUUGAGUAGCAAGAAUCUAGGGCCUGUUCUGAAACAUCUCCUCUCACCUUCAUACAGUCAGCAUAAAGAAAGCAUUUCUUGGUCUGAAGCCCAAAAGACACAGGAAAUGCAGUGUCUCUGUUAGACCAGAAACAAAAUAAACAAGCUAACCAGAAGAAACACUUUCAUCAAGAUAUUACAUUAUUGCACACAUUGAGAUAAAGGAUGGACUACCCAGCCAUUCACCAGAUUUAAGUAAAGCUGUUUUUGAAGUUAAUUUUAAGUCCCAAAUAAGAGUCAUGACAUCUAGUCAUAGCCUUUCACUAGAGAGGAAAAAUUCAACAUUUUCCAUUAAGGCACAACUAAAGCUCUCAGACUUAGUGACUUGCUCAGUGAUAAUGUACAUGAAUCUAUUCCCUCCUCUAAAAAUUUCAAAUGAUUGUGGUCUUGGAAAAUACUAUAUCAUUUUAUCAAUGUAUAUUCUUAAUCUACAAAAAACUCUUCCAAACUUUAAGCUAGAAGAGCAGGUAAUUUGCUUCUGGCAUAGAAGAAAUCUUAUCAGUCAAAAAACCUGCUUUUUAGAAUUUCAAACGAUAAAGCAAGAAGAGAAUAAAGUGCUGUCAAUGUGUUAUGUGUGUGUGUGCACACGCAUGUGCAUUAUCCCACAUUAUGAGGCGCUUCCAAGGUGUAGUGUGCAUUUACAGGGCCUCUCUUCAGCAUUUAAACUGUGGGGCAUUUUUUUUGAGAAGUGUGAGUCUUGCUCAGUGGUCGUGUAAGCACUUUGGCAUCAUGAUUUAUAAAUAUUGUGAUGUACUUGACCAGAGGUGACCUUACUUUGCUAAUUACUUAUCAGUUCUUUUACCCAGUAUUUCUUUGUUUUAAGAAGCAACAUUGCUUGUCUUACCAACAUAUAUUAUGCGAUUUAUGGUAAAUAAGAAUAGUAUCAGGAAUAGCAAAAUGAGAUCAUGUGUACAACUCAUUGCAUCCUGGUGGGCACAGCCAUGUUUAGUAAUAGCUUUUCCUUGUGCUCUUGCCACUGCCAAACAGACUGCGAAUGCCAUCUUUGGCUUUCUUAACGUCUCUUCAGGGAUCAAUAAAGUGUCUCUUUUUUUCUUAGAUGGCAACUUCAACUCCCUUUAAGAGUACAGUAUUAGUUUAAAACACUUCAAUGUAAAGCAACCUCGUAGAGAUUCCGUCACCCAUGAUUGAUGUUGGGCAAGUAGAAAAAAAAUGUAGGUUGAUUUCAUUCUCUGCCUUUCAGAUCUUUGAAGGAAAAGUGGGGUUGUUUAAAACAAACAUAGCCUGAUCAAUUGUUUGUAAAGCUCUUUGAAAAUAAUCUUAUACUACACUUCUUUUCUGAUAUUUUAUCUAUAGAUGCGAAAGUGCAUAUAUCACCUACUUGUUUCAUUAUGUACUUGUGUUAAUUUUUUAUCUUGAAAUAAAUGUUCAUAAUUGAAAAUUAUUAAAUCAUCUUAAUUUUCACAUGAAAUAAAUCUAAUAUGUGGAUUAGCAACAAAGACAUGUCUCAAAUAAGAAAGAACAAUUAAUGAAACCAAAUCUGAAGUUCAAGCAAAGCAAUUAUAUUGAUAUUUGUAUUUCCCUAUUUCUUGGUCCUAUUGCUGUGUUUUUAAUUUCAAUUAUAUUUUCUUUGUUAUUCUGUCAUUUAAAUUAUAAGUAUGCUGUCCCAAAUUCUUUGUGCAGAAGUGCAUGUAUAAAUAAAUACAAAUAAAUAAUUAAUGAUCACA